rnacentral:rRNA from 1 species
UCGGGGUACUCGAGUGGCGAACGGGUGAGUAACACGUGGGUGAUCUGCCCUGCACUUUGGGAUAAGCCUGGGAAACUGGGUCUAAUACCGAAUAGGACCGCGCUCUUCAUGGGGGGUGGUGGAAAGCUUUUGCGGUGUGGGAUGGGCCCGCGGCCUAUCAGCUUGUUGGUGGGGUAAUGGCCUACCAAGGCGACGACGGGUAGCCGGCCUGAGAGGGUGACCGGCCACACUGGGACUGAGAUACGGCCCAGACUCCUACGGGAGGCAGCAGUGGGGAAUAUUGCACAAUGGGCGCAAGCCUGAUGCAGCGACGCCGCGUGAGGGAUGACGGCCUUUCGGGUUGUAAACCUCUUUCAAUAGGGACGAAGCGCAAGUGACGGUACCUAUAGAAGAAGGACCGGCCAACUACGUGCCAGCAGCCGCGGUAAUACGUAGGGUCCGAGCGUUGUCCGGAAUUACUGGGCGUAAAGAGCUCGUAGGUGGUUUGUCGCGUUGUUCGUGAAAACUCACAGCUUAACUGUGGGCGUGCGGGCGAUACGGGCAGACUAGAGUACUGCAGGGGAGACUGGAAUUCCUGGUGUAGCGGUGGAAUGCGCAGAUAUCAGGAGGAACACCGGUGGCGAAGGCGGGUCUCUGGGCAGUAACUGACGCUGAGGAGCGAAAGCGUGGGGAGCGAACAGGAUUAGAUACCCUGGUAGUCCACGCCGUAAACGGUGGGUACUAGGUGUGGGUUUCCUUCCUUGGGAUCCGUGCCGUAGCUAACGCAUUAAGUACCCCGCCUGGGGAGUACGGCCGCAAGGCUAAAACUCAAAGGAAUUGACGGGGGCCCGCACAAGCGGCGGAGCAUGUGGAUUAAUUCGAUGCAACGCGAAGAACCUUACCUGGGUUUGACAUGCACAGGACGCCAGUAGAGAUAUUGGUUCCCUUGUGGCCUGUGUGCAGGUGGUGCAUGGCUGUCGUCAGCUCGUGUCGUGAGAUGUUGGGUUAAGUCCCGCAACGAGCGCAACCCUUGUCUCAUGUUGCCAGCACGUUAUGGUGGGGACUCGUGAGAGACUGCCGGGGUCAACUCGGAGGAAGGUGGGGAUGACGUCAAGUCAUCAUGCCCCUUAUGUCCAGGGCUUCACACAUGCUACAAUGGCCGGUACAAAGGGCUGCGAUGCCGUGAGGUGGAGCGAAUCCUUUCAAAGCCGGUCUCAGUUCGGAUCGGGGUCUGCAACUCGACCCCGUGAAGUCGGAGUCGCUAGUAAUCGCAGAUCAGCAACGCUGCGGUGAAUACGUUCCCGGGCCUUGUACACACCGCCCGUCACGUCAUGAAAGUCGGUAACACCCGAAGCC